CAGCAGCCGCGGGAAUACGAAGGGUGCAAGCGUUACUCGGAAUUACUGGGCGUAAAGCGUGCGUAGGUGGUGGUUUAAGUCCGUUGUGAAAGCCCUGGGCUCAACCUGGGAAUUGCAGUGGAUACUGGGUCACUAGAGUGUGGUAGAGGAUAGUGGAAUUUCCGGUGUAGCAGUGAAAUGCGUAGAGAUCGGAAGGAACAUCUGUGGCGAAGGCGACUAUCUGGGCCAACACUGACACUGAGGUACGAAAGCAUGGGGAGCAAACAGGAUUAGAUACCCCUGUAGUCCCUGUCUCUUAUAC
rnacentral:rRNA from 1 species